rnacentral:rRNA from 1 species
GAUGAACGCUAGCGACAGGCUUAACACAUGCAAGUCGAGGGGCAGCAUGGGCGUGGCAACACGCCUGAUGGCGACCGGCGCACUGGUGAGUAACACGUAUGCGACCUGCCUCCUUCAGGGGGAUAACCCAGAGAAAUUUGGCCUAAUACCCCAUAGUCCGCGCGGCUGCAUGGCCGUGCGGGGAAAGCUGCGGCGGAAGGAGAUGGGCAUGCGGCGCAUUAGCUUGUUGGCGGGGCAACGGCCCACCAAGCCAUCGAUGCCUAGGGGAGCUGAGAGGCUAAUCCCCCACACUGGUACUGAGACACGGACCAGACUCC